rfam:Azospirillum lipoferum 4B plasmid AZO_p4 complete genome
UGGCCCUGCCCAUUCUCGGGGCGUUUCCUCCCUAAACUUCAGGGCCGCGCAUUUGCGCGGCCCUUUUUCUUUGCGGAA